rnacentral:rRNA from 1 species
CCUACGGGGGGCAGUGGGGAAUAUUGGACAAUGGGCGAAAGCCUGAUCCAGCCAUGCCGCGUGUGUGAAGAAGGCCUUCGGGUUGUAAAGCACUUUCAGUGGGGAAGAAAGCCUUGGGGCUAAUACCCUCGAGGAAGGACAUCACCCACAGAAGAAGCACCGGCUAACUCCGUGCCAGCAGCCGCGGUAAUACGGAGGGUGCGAGCGUUAAUCGGAAUUACUGGGCGUAAAGCGCGCGUAGGCGGUCUGAUAAGCCGGUUGUGAAAGCCCCGGGCUCAACCUGGGAACGGCAUCCGGAACUGUCAGGCUAGAGUGCAGGAGAGGAAGGUAGAAUUCCCGGUGUAGCGGUGAAAUGCGUAGAGAUCGGGAGGAAUACCAGUGGCGAAGGCGGCCUUCUGGACUGACACUGACGCUGAGGUGCGAAAGCGUGGGUAGCAAACAGGAUUAGAUACCCUAGUAGUC